rnacentral:rRNA from 1 species
UACGUAGGUGGCAAGCGUUGUCCGGAUUUACUGGGCGUAAAGAGCGCGCAGGGCGGUCGGAUUAGUCGCGUGUGAAAGCCCCCGGCUCAACUGGGGAGGGUCACGCGAUACUGUUCGACUCGAAGGCAGGAGAGGGAAGUGGAAUUCCCGGUGUAGUGGUGAAAAUGCGUAGAUAUCGGGAGGAACACCAGUGGCGAAGGCGACUUCCUGGCCUGUUCUUGACGCUGAGGCGCGAAAGCUAGGGUAGCAAACGGGGAUUAAGAA